UACGUAGGGUGCAAGCGUUGUCCGGAAUUAUUGGGUGUAAAGAGCUCGUAGGCGGCUAGUCACGUCGGAUGUGAAAACCCGAGGCUCAACCUCGGGCCUGCAUUCGAUACGGGCUGGCUAGAGUACUGCAGGGGAGACUGGAAUUCCUGGUGUAGCGGUGAAAUGCGCAGAUAUCAGGAGGAACACCGGUGGCGAAGGCGGGUCUCUGGGCAGUAACUGACGCUGAGGAGCGAAAGCGUGGGGAGCGAACAGG
rnacentral:rRNA from 1 species